UACGGGGGGGGCAAGCGUUGUUCGGAAUUACUGGGCGUAAAGGGUUCGUAGGUGGCCAACUAAGUCAGACGUGAAAUCCCUCAGCUUAACUGGGGAACUGCGUCUGAGACUGGAUGGCUUGAGUGCAGGAGAGGAACGCGGAAUUCCAGGUGUAGCGGUGAAAUGCGUAGAUAUCUGGAGGAACACCGGUGGCGAAGGCGGCGUUCUGGACUGCUACUGACACUGAGGAACGAAAGCGUGGGGAGCAAACAGG
rnacentral:rRNA from 1 species